ACUCCUACGGGAGGCAGCAGUGGGAAUCUUGGACAAUGGGGGCAACCCUGAUCCAGCCAUGCCGCGUGAGUGAUGAAGGCCUUAGGGUCGUAAAGCUCUUUCGCCUGUGAAGAUAAUGACGGUAGCAGGUAAAGAAACCCGCGUACAUCCGUGCCAGCAGCCGCGGUAAUACGGAGGGUGCGAGCGUUAAUCGGAAUUACUGGGCGUAAAGCGCAUGCAGGUGGUUUGUUAAGUCAGAUGUGAAAGCCCGGGGCUCAACCUCGGAACUGCAUUUGAAACUGGCAGACUAGAGUACUGUAGAGGGGGUGAGAAUUUCAGGUGUAGCGGUGAAAUGCGUAGAGAUCUGAAGGAAUACCGGUGGCG
rnacentral:rRNA from 1 species